GUGAAUCAUCAAAUCUUUGAACGCAAAUUGCACUCUCUUCGGAGAGUAUGCCUGUUUGAGGGUCAGUAUUAAUAAAAUUCGGUGUGUUGCUUCUUUGUGACGCUCCGGAGUUUGGGUCAUCUUUAUAUUCUUUAGGUCUUAAGAGGAUUAAAAUUGAAUUUUUUAUCGUUUUUUAGCUGUUCAUAAUUAUUUUUUUUUAUUCGUAUGUUUUAAUGUUAAGAAUCAUAUUUGUUG
rnacentral:misc_RNA from 1 species